rnacentral:rRNA from 1 species
UCUCGGGGGAAUGACGUUAGUACGGCGAGUGAAGCGGCAAAAGCUCAAAUUUGAAAUCUGGCACCUUCGGUGUCCGAGUUGUAAUUUGAAGAAGGUAACUUUGGAGUUGGCUCUUGUCUAUGUUCCUUGGAACAGGACGUCACAGAGGGUGAGAAUCCCGUGCGAUGAGAUGCCCAAUUCUAUGUAAAGUGCUUUCGAAGAGUCGAGUUGUUUGGGAAUGCAGCUCUAAGUGGGUGGUAAAUUCCAUCUAAAGCUAAAUAUUGGCGAGAGACCGAUAGCGAACAAGUACAGUGAUGGAAAGAUGAAAAGAACUUUGAAAAGAGAGUGAAAAAGUACGUGAAAUUGUUGAAAGGGAAGGGCUUGAGAUCAGACUUGGUAUUUUGCGAUCCUUUCCUUCUUGGUUGGGUUCCUCGCAGCUUACUGGGCCAGCAUCGGUUUGGAUGGUAGGAUAAUGACUAAGGAAUGUGGCUCUACUUCGGUGGAGUGUUAUAGCCUUGGUUGAUACUGCCUGUCUAGACCGAGGACUGCGUCUUUUGACUAGGAUGUUGGCAUAAUGAUCUUAAGCCACCCGUCUUAAAAAAAGGGAACAAAAACCAAAGAAUUAAAUUUGGGGUGGCCAUAAGCACCCGAAGGAAAAAAUAUCUUCUUUUUUUAUUUUUCAUAGCUUAUGCAAAACUU